GCGAGAUGUGGCGGGGGUGGGGUGGAAAGAAAGGGGGGUGAAAGGUUGUUCGGAAUGACUGGGCGUAAAGUGCGUGUAGGCGGGGAAGCAAGUCGGGUGUGAAAGCCCGGGGAUGAACUGAGGAAGAGCACUCGAAACUGGGUAGCUUGAGUGCUGGAGAGGAUGGUGGAAUUCUCGGUGUAGAGGUGAAAUUCGUAGAUAUCGAGAGGAACACCAGUGGCGAAGGCGGCCAUCUGGACAGAAACUGACGCUGAGACGCGAAAGCGUGGGUAGCAAACAGGAUUAGAUACCCUAGUAGUC
rnacentral:rRNA from 1 species